CAAAUGGACAGCUUAUUUGUUCCAAAUCAAGCUCUAACCCAAGAAGCUAUCUUAGACACAUAAACAACAGGUAGCCCAAUCUUGGUUGUUCUGAGAACACACAGCUGACUUGUAAUGUUUUCAAAGAAUCAUAGAUUGGGUUAAUUAAAGGAACUUCCCUAAACUGCAACAUGGAACCUCAGCAAGAAGCUUGGUGAAGGAGGAUCUCAAUCAGUUUUUGAAGGGUCCUUGAAUGAAGGCACAAAGGUGGCAGUGAAAUGCCUAUAUGGGCUAGGCCAAUUCAAAAAUCACUCCUAAAUGAGGUCGAAACCAUUGGCAGUAUACAUCAUGUCAACUUGGUAUAGUUAAUUGGAUUCUCAGCUGGGAAAUCUAACAGGCU